AUUUGUCCAUGUUAAUAUGAUUUUCUUUUUUUUUCUUAUUUUUUUUUUAUGAUUUUCAGAUUUAAAAAAAUAAAAAUAAAAAUAAACAAAUCUCUCUCUCUCUCCCUCUCUCUCUCUCUCUCUCUCUCUCUCUCUCUCUCUCUCUUUCUCUUAUUUAUUUAUUUUUUGAUUUUUAGAUUUUAAAAAAAUAAAAAAUAAAAAUAAAAAUAAAUAUCUCUCUCUCUCUCUCUCUCUCUCUCUCUCUCUAGAAAACCCAAGCACAAAAGGAGGCUGCUACCCUCAGUUCCAACCAUGUUUUCUUCUUCUUUCUCGAUGACAAGAAACCUAAACACCCCCAUACUUGUUACUGCCUCCUUUCGUCUUCUCUUCUUCGGGUUUAAACCAGAAAACCUCCACCCGAGUUGAGGUUUUUCGGUUGUCAAGAGGGAAACAACCCCCUCUCGUUUUCCUUGUGCUUUUCAUCGGCUUCAUAGCAACCCAAAUGCCCCACCUAUUAUUGUUCUAUCUCCAAUCUACCUUACCCUUCCCCUUCGCGUUUUCUUCCAGAUAAGAAUAGGAAUAGUCAAAAGGCCGCAGGAGCAGCCCCUUAACUGCAGUAGUCAACAAGAGCCUUUGUUGGUUCGUUCUUCUCCUUCCCCCAACCUAUUCAGAUCUUUAUUGCCUCCAUUCCCUCCUCCACUCUCCUGUUGUUGGUACCCAAACGCCAAUAAAUAAUUGAAGAGCAUUGACUCCUCAGGAAUCCCCAAAUUGAAGAUGCAAUACAACACCAAAUCAAACCUAAUAAGGUAAAAACGAAGAGUACAAGCUCUUUCUCUCUAUGUAUUUCUGUGGGAAUCUUCUGGGAAUCACUUCUAUGGCUCUUGAAAUCGGGGUUGAUUGUGUCUCUUCAAAUCACUUCUUCUUGAGAGUGAAGGCACACAUCAGAGCAUCAAGUGAAAAAAUUUAGCAAAUAGGUUUGCUCGUCUAUUUCCAGCUCUUUUUCAUGGAAAUCUAAGAUAUGUACUUUUCUCCUUACGUUUCUGGAUGAAUCCGAUUUGAUUUUUUUACCCAAAUCAAAACAGAGAGAAAGGAGAAGAUCCUAAGAGAAAUUAGUUUCAUUAUGUUUGUAGAGAUAAUAUGAAGAUGCGGACAAGAAAGGGUGUGACCUGAAGAUCUGAGAUUGAAGAAGAUGAUGGUGGUAUGUGUUCUUGGGAUGUGUAGAGAGAGAGAGAGAGAGAUUUAUUUUCUUUUUCUAAAUCUAAAAAUCAGAAAAAUAAAUAAGAGAGAGAGAGAGAUUUAUUUUAUUUUUAUUUUUUUUAAAUAUGAAAAUCAGAAAAAAAAAAGAAAAUCAUUUUAACAAUGGCAAAUUCGUCAUUUUGAAAAAAAUCAAAAUAGAUUGGACGAAACAAGAAACAAAAUGAAACCAUUGGACCUGUGCUGCUAGUCCAAACCUUUUUGGACCAAAGUGAUAAUUUGAGCAAACCACAGUGACUAUUUGUGCAGUUUAAUCUUUGCAAAACCAAUUUGCAAUGCUGUUUAUUUAUUUAUUUUUAGAAUAACAAUUUGCAAUGCUAUAUCAUACAUAUGCAAUCAAGUGUUAGCUAUACUUUUGUAACAUCCGGAUUUCCAGGUAUCAUAAUUUAAGUAUUUAUUUUUGAGCUAAGAAGAGGGACUCGACGAGUUGACGCCUAAACUCGUCGAAUAGGAUCACAACUGAUGACUCGGAUUAAUGAAUGGACUCGACGAGUCGGUGAGUCGACUCGAAGAGUCCGCGCUGUUGGCAGAAACCCUAAUUCUUUGGGCCCGAGUCCUAUUUAAAGGCACUUAUAGCCUUCAAUUGCGGCUACCUUCCCAGAAGAGAGAACCCUAGCGAGCUUGAGUGUGUAGAGUGAGAGAAAGAGCUAUCUUGAGCUUUUUGGUGUGAUUUUGCAAGAAAGGAGAAGAGUUCCAGCAAGAGGGACCAGAGGAGGUUGUUGUUCUAAGUUAUUCAAGGAAGGAGCUUCAUUCUGAGAUCGGGGAUUCGAGCACGAGAGUUCUCUAGACAUCUUACGAGGUACUAGCGAGGAUCGCAGGAAGGCACCGACAUGAUUUGUACACACUGACAGAGGAUUUUGUAUUUGAGAUUCUGGGAUAUGUUUUACCAUGAUAACAUUUGAUACACUCGAGUUUUGAGAUGAUUUGUAUGAGACAUGUUAUGUUUGAAAAUUGAAAAAUUGUUUUGAAAAUUUACGUUGUUACAAGUUGGUAUCAGAGCCUUGGUUUGAGGGAUUCGGAUGCACCUUCGGGCGU